AUACGUAGGUGGCAAGCGUUGUCCGGAAUUAUUGGGCGUAAAGCGCAUGUAGGCGGUUUGGUAAGUCGGUCGUGAAAAUGCGGUGCUUAACGCCGUAUGGCGAUUGAAACUGCUGAACUUGAGUGCAGGAGAGGAAAGGGGAACUCCCAGUGUAGCGGUGAAAUGCGUAGAUAUUGGGAAGAACACCGGUGGCGAAGGCGCUUUUCUGGACUGUGUCUGACACUCAAACGCAAAAGCCAGUAUAGCGAACGGGAUUAGAUACCCCGAUAGUCCUGGCCGUAAACGAUGGGUACUAGGUGUGGGAGGUAUCGCCUCUUUCCGUGCCGGAGUUAACGCAAUAAGUACCCCGCCUGGGGAGUACGGCCGCAAGGCUUAAACUCAAAGGAAUUGGCGGGG
rnacentral:rRNA from 1 species